rnacentral:piRNA from 1 species
UUUCCCUCCAGCUUCCAUGUCAACACAGAC